rnacentral:rRNA from 7 species
UUGUGAUUCAUGACUGGGGUGAAGUCGUAACAAGGUAACCGUAGGGGAACCUGCGGUUGGAUCACCUCCUUACCUUAAAGAA